rnacentral:rRNA from 1 species
ACGAACGCUGGCGGCGUGCUUCACACAUGCAAGUCGAACGGUGAAGCGCCUUCCUUUUUUGUGGGUGUGGAUGAGUGGCGAACGGGUGAGUAACACGUGAGUAACCUGCCCCCUUCUUCUGGAUAACCGCAUGAAAGUGUGGCUAAUACGGGAUAUUCUGGGUCUGUCGCAUGAUGGGUCUGGGAAAGAUAUUGUUUCGGUGGGGGAUGGGCUCGCGGCCUAUCAGCUUGUUGGUGGGGUGAUGGCCUACCAAGGCGGUGACGGGUAGCCGGCCUGAGAGGGUGGACGGUCACACUGGGACUGAGACACGGCCCAGACUCCUACGGGAGGCAGCAGUGGGGAAUAUUGCACAAUGGGCGCAAGCCUGAUGCAGCGACGCCGCGUGAGGGAUGGAGGCCUUCGGGUUGUGAACCUCUUUCGCCAGUGAAGCAGGCCUGCCUCGUUUGUGGGUGGGUUGACGGUAGCUGGAUAAGAAGCGCCGGCUAACUACGUG